AGGAACCGAAAGGCGACCGACCCUUCGGGAGCUUGCACAGGUGCUGCAUGGCUGUCGUCAGCUCGUGUCGUGAGAUGUUCGGUUAAGUCCGCUAACGAGCGCAACCCUCGCUGUGUGUUACAAGUGUCACACGGUACUGCCGGUCUUAAGCCGGAGGAAGGUGGGGAUGACGUCAAGUCAGCAUGGCCUUUAUGUCCUGGGCUACACACACGCUACAAUGGCCAACACAAUAGGUUGCUAAGCCGCGAGGUGGAGCCAAUCCUCAAAGUUGGUCUCAGUUCAGAUUGCAGGCUGCAACCCGCCUGCAUGAAGAUGGAGUUGCUAGUAACCGCAGGUCGGCUAUACUGCGGUGAAUACGUUCCCGGGGCUU
rnacentral:rRNA from 1 species